AUUGAACGCUGGCGGCAGGCCUAACACAUGCAAGUCGAGCGGAGCGGCGGACGGGUGAGUAAUGCCUAGGAAUCUGCCUGGUAGUGGGGGAUAACGUCCGGAAACGGGCGCUAAUACCGCAUACUAUCAGAUGAGCCUAGGUCGGAUUAGCUAGUUGGUGGGGUAAAGGCCUACCAAGGCGACGAUCCGUAACUGGUAUGAGAGGAUGAUCAGUCACUCGGGAACUGAGACACGGUCCAGACUCCGAAGGGAGGCAGCAGUGGGGAAUAUUGGGCAAUGGGCGAAAGCCUGAUCCAGCCAUGCCGCGUGGGUGAAGAAGGUCUUCGGAUUGUAAAGCUCUUUAAGUUGGGAGGCGUGACCAGCAGAAGAAGCACCGGCUAACUUCGUGCCAGCAGCCGCGGUAAUUC
rnacentral:rRNA from 1 species